rnacentral:lncRNA from 1 species
AUUGAUCUCAAUAAAGAGAACCAGUUGAAAAUAGACAUUAUAUUUCAGACCACACUUUAUGUUAUUUCCAUGCUACACACCUAUACUUGAUCCAUGUCGUUGGUUAUAUUGAUUUAUGUGAUCUAUGUUGGUUCUAGUUACGCAAGAGUAACUAAGAGCUCUUAGAUCCUAUGUUGGUAUGAUUGAUGGACCGGAUUGUUCAUGACAAUUUUAUU